UACGGGGGGGGCAAGCGUUGUUCGGAAUUACUGGGCGUAAAGGGCUCGUAGGCGGCCAACUAAGUCGGAUGUGAAAUCCCCAGGCUCAACUUGGGAACUGCAUCCGAUACUGGAUGGCUUGAAUCCGGGAGAGGGAUGCAGAAUUCCAGGUGUAGCGGUGAAAUGCGUAGAUAUCUGGAGGAAUACCGGUGGCGAAGGCGGCAUCCUGGACCGGCACUGACGCUGAUGAGCGAAAGCUAGGGGAGCAAACGGG
rnacentral:rRNA from 1 species